rnacentral:rRNA from 1 species
CCGGAGAAUGUUAUCACGGGAGACAGAAUGUUAUCACGGGAGACACACGGCGGGUGCUAACGUCCGUCGUGAAGAGGGAAACAACCCAGACCGCCAGCUAAGGUCCCAAAGUCAUGGUUAAGUGGGAAACGAUGUGGGAAGGCCCAGACAGCCAGGAUGUUGGCUUAGAAGCAGCCAUCAUUUAAAGAAAGCGUAAUAGCUCACUGGUCGAGUCGGCCUGCGCGGAAGAUGUAACGGGGCUAAACCAUGCACCGAAGCUGCGGCAGCGACGCUUAUGCGUUGUUGGGUAGGGGAGCGUUCUGUAAGCCUGUGAAGGUGGCCUGUGAGGGUUGCUGGAGGUAUCAGAAGUGCGAAUGCUGACAUAAGUAACGAUAAAGCGGGUGAAAAGCCCGCUCGCCGGAAGACCAAGGGUUCCUGUCCAACGUUAAUCGGGGCAGGGUGAGUCGACCCCUAAGGCGAGGCCGAAAGGCGUAGUCGAUGGGAAACGGGUUAAUAUUCCCGUACUUGGUG